GCGAGACAGCUAGCUUUUACCACCUGAAUUAAAUAUCCAGUAUAUAUAUCUACACACUAAUUAAAUAAACCAUUCUUCCCCCUAAGUAUAGGCGAUAGAAAAGGAAACACUAAAGCAAUAGAGAGAGUACCGCAAGGGAAAGCUGAAAAAGAAGUGAAACAACCCAUAAAAGCAAUAAAAAGCAAAGAUAAAUACUUGUACCUUUUGCAUCAUGGUUUAGCAAGUCUAAUCAAGCAAAGAGAACUUUAGUUUGACAUCCCGAAACUAGACGAGCUACUCCGGGGCAGCUUUUAAGCCCACCCAUCUCUGUAGCAAUAGAGUGGGGCGACCCCCGAGUAGUGGUGACAAGCCUAUCGAGUUUAGUGAUAGCUGGUUGCUUGAGAAAUGAAUUUUAGUUCAGCUUUAUAUAAUUCUAAGACCACAGAUAAAGGAUUUAAGUAAUAUAUAAGAGUUAGUCAGAGGGGGUACAGCCCAUUUGAAAAAGGACACAACCUUAACAGGUGACCAAGGAUCAUAAUUUUAAAGGUUUGGUACUCCGGUAGGCUUAAAAGCAGCCACCUGAGAAGAAGGCGUCAAAGCCCCAAUUUUACAAGACCCAUAAUUAAGAUAAAAACCUCCAAAGUCCCUAAAUUUAUCAAGCUAUUCUAUGCCUACAUAGAAGAAAUAAUGCUAAAAUUAGUAAUAAGAGGAUGACCCUCUCCCCGCACAUGUGUAAACCAGCACGGACAAACCACUGGCAAACAACGGACCCUAGAUGAGGGAAGAGUAAUAAGAAUUAUAACCAAGAAAAUACUACUCACAAGACCGUUACCCCAACACAGGAGUGCACUCGGAAAGACGAAAAAGAGAAGAAGGAACUCGGCAACCAUAAACUCCGCCUGUUUACCAAAAACAUCGCCUCUUGCUAAUUAAAGAAGUAUAAGAGGUCCCGCCUGCCCAGUGACUCAUGUUUAACGGCCGCGGUAUCUUGACCGUGCAAAGGUAGCGUAAUCACUUGUCUUUUAAAUAAAGACCUGUAUGAAUGGCAUAACGAGAGUUUGACUGUCUCCUUCCCUUAGUCAAUGAAAUUGAUCUGUCCGUGCAGAAGCGGGCAUGUAACCAUAAGACGAAAAGACCCUAUGGAGCUUUAGACAAAGGACACGCGUAUGGAAGUUCACUAUAAUAUAUAAAACUAAACGGCGCAGGGUGUCUGAAUGUCUUGGGUUGGGGCGACCAUGGAGGAAAAAAGAGCCUCCACAAGGAAUGGAAACUUCCUAAAGCGAGAAGGACACUUCAAAGCAACAGAAAAUCUGACCUUAAAUGACCCAGGCUUGCCUGAUUAAUGAAACAAGUUACCCUAGGGAUAACAGCGCAAUCCUUUCCCAGAGUCCCUAUCGACGAGAGGGUUUACGACCUCGAUGUUGGAUCAGGACGUCCUAAUGGUGCAGCCGCUAUUAAGGGUUCGUUUGUUCAACGACUAACAGUCCUACGUGAUCUGAGUUCAGACCGGAGCAAUCCAGGUCGGUUUCUAUCUAUGACUAUCGCUUCUUUAUAGUACGAAAGGACCUGAAUGAAGGGGGCCAAUGCUAAAAGUAAGCCCCACCCCUAAUAACUGAAAACAAAUAAAGUACCUAAGGGGGAAUAUACAACAACCAUAGAUAAUGG
rnacentral:rRNA from 1 species